GUUUCCUAUUUUAUUUAUUUGACGCUUGGUUUCAUAUAUAACAUUGUCUGACCAAACUUGUUUAAAUUUCCUUUUCUUUUUCCUCCUCUUAGUUUUUGGAGUUGCUUUACAAAAAAGGCUUGAAAUAUUAUCUAAAAUUUUUGUCAAUUUUUCUGUAGCCUCAUCAACACCAACCUGAUUUUCCUCGUAAUUAACCAUUUCAAACUCUAUUAUCUCAUUCUUUACAUUUUCAGUCAAUAAAGCAUCAAUAAGUUUAAGUUUAGAAUUUUCUGACCAUUUAUAUGAUUUAAUCCAGUGCCAACCUUUUUCCUCAAGGCCAAUUUCUUUAUCUAUAUUUAUAGAGCACUUCAUAUAUAAAGUAAUUUGAACAUGAUCUGAUAGGUAAGUAAAAUCGUUUGUUUUAAAAUAUUUGACUGAGGACAGGAGACUCUCGCUAACAACAGCAUAAUCAACAGUACUAAAUCCACUGCUUGACAUAUAUGUAUAAUAUCCCAAUGAGUCACCUAAAAAUCGACCAUUGAG
rnacentral:lncRNA from 1 species